rnacentral:rRNA from 1 species
GAUGAACGCUGGCGGCGUGCCUAAUACAUGCAAGUCGAGCGAACGGACGAGAAGCUUGCUUCUCUGAUGUUAGCGGCGGACGGGUGAGUAACACGUGGAUAACCUACCUAUAAGACUGGGAUAACUUCGGGAAACCGGAGCUAAUACCGGAUGAUAUUUUGAACCGCAUGGUUCAAAAGUGAAAGACUGUCUUGCUGUCACUUAUAGAUGGAUCCGCGCUGCAUUAGCUAGUUGGUAAGGUAACGGCUUACCAAGGCAACGAUGCAUAGCCGACCUGAGAGGGUGAUCGGCCACACUGGAACUGAGACACGGUCCAGACUCCUAAGGGAGGCAGCAGUAGGGAAUCUUCCGCAAUGGGCGAAAGCCUGACGGAGCAACGCCGCGUGAGUGAUGAAGGUCUUCGGAUCGUAAAACUCUGUUAUUAGGGAAGAACAUAUGUGUAAGUAACUGUGCACAUAUUGACGGUACCUAAUCAGAAAGCCACGGCUAACUACGUG